rnacentral:rRNA from 1 species
GUGGGGAAUUUUGGACAAUGGGCGCAAGCCUGAUCCAGCAAUGCCGCGUGAGUGAAGAAGGCCUUCGGGUUGUAAAGCUCUUUUGUCAGGGAAGAAACGGCUGGGGCUAAUAUCCUCGGCUAAUGACGGUACCUGAAGAAUAAGCACCGGCUAACUACGUGCCAGCAGCCGCGGUAAUACGUAGGGUGCAAGCGUUAAUCGGAAUUACUGGGCGUAAAGCGUGCGCAGGCGGUUUUGUAAGUCUGACGUGAAAUCCCCGGGCUCAACCUGGGAAUUGCGUUGGAGACUGCAAGGCUGGAGUCUGGCAGAGGGGGGUAGAAUUCCACGUGUAGCAGUGAAAUGCGUAGAGAUGUGGAGGAACACCGAUGGCGAAGGCAGCCCCCUGGGUCAAGACUGACGCUCAUGCACGAAAGCGUGGGGAGCAA